rnacentral:rRNA from 2 species
UGCAGUCGAGCGGAGUUAUGAGAGCUUGCUCUCGUAACUUAGCGGCGGACGGGUGAGUAACACGUGGGCAACCUGCCUGUAAGACUGGGAUAACUUCGGGAAACCGGAGCUAAUACCGGAUAACUCUUUUCUACUCAUGUAGAAAAGCUGAAAGAUGGUUUCGGCUAUCACUUACAGAUGGGCCCGCGGCGCAUUAGCUAGUUGGUGAGGUAACGGCUCACCAAGGCAACGAUGCGUAGCCGACCUGAGAGGGUGAUCGGCCACACUGGGACUGAGACACGGCCCAGACUCCUACGGGAGGCAGCAGUAGGGAAUCUUCCGCAAUGGACGAAAGUCUGACGGAGCAACGCCGCGUGAGUGAUGAAGGUUUUCGGAUCGUAAAACUCUGUUGUUAGGGAAGAACAAGUACCGGAGUAACUGCCGGUACCUUGACGGUACCUAACCAGAAAGCCACGGCUAACUACGUGCCAGCAGCCGCGGUAAUACGUAGGUGGCAAGCGUUGUCCGGAAUUAUUGGGCGUAAAGCGCGCGCAGGUGGUUCCUUAAGUCUGAUGUGAAAGCCCCCGGCUCAACCGGGGAGGGUCAUUGGAAACUGGGGAACUUGAGUACAGAA